GGCCUUGUGGUGCAAUGGCAGCAUAUCUGACUCCAGAUCAGAUGGUUAGGUGUUCAAAUCACACCAGGGUCA
rfam:Alligator mississippiensis ScZkoYb_19, whole genome shotgun sequence.